AGCAGCCAUCAUUUAAAGAAAGCGUAAUAGCUCACUGGUCGAGUCGGCCUGCGCGGAAGAUGUAACGGGGCUAAACCAUGCACCGAAGCUGCGGCAGCGACACUCAGGUGUUGUUGGGUAGGGGAGCGUUCUGUAAGCCUGUGAAGGUGUGUCGUGAGGCAUGCUGGAGGUAUCAGAAGUGCGAAUGCUGACAUAAGUAACGAUAAAGCGGGUGAAAAGCCCGCUCGCCGGAAGACCAAGGGUUCCUGUCCAACGUUAAUCGGGGCAGGGUGAGUCGACCCCUAAGGCGAGGCCGAAAGGCGUAGUCGAUGGGAAACGGGUUAAUAUUCCCGUACUUGGUGUUACUGCGAAGGGGGGACGGAGAAGGCUAUGUUGGCCGGGCGACGGUUGUCCCGGUUUAAGCGUGUAGGCUGGUUUUCCAGGCAAAUCCGGAAAAUCAAGGCUGAGGCGUGACGACGAGGCACUACGGUGCUGAAGCAACAAAUGCCCUGCUUCCAGGAAAAGCCUCUAAGCAUCAGGUAACAUCAAAUCGUACCCCAAACCGACACAGGUGGUCAGGUAGAGAAUACCAAGGCGCUUGAGAGAACUCGGGUGAAGGAACUAGGCAAAAUGGUGCCGUAACUUCGGGAGAAGGCACGCUGACAC
rnacentral:rRNA from 1 species